rnacentral:lncRNA from 1 species
CUCCUCUCCUCCCUUGUCCAGGUGCACCCUGCCCGCUUGUGGUGGCCUCAGGGGUGAGAAAUCAGGACCCACCCAGUGAGAGAAAUAACCCAAGCUGUCAGCAACGCGGAAAGAAAUGGGCUAGCAACCUCUUAAAGCAUCCUCACAUACUGCGGCGAUGACUCUGUGCACAGACCAAGGAAGGAGAGAGGCCGCGGAAGUCAGGUAGAGUACUUCCUUGGUGGUCAGAUUCUGGAGGGCUAAACGUGUGUGUGCGUGAAUGAUCAAAAACAACCCUACUUGCGGUGUUGUUCAUGUGGAUGGUGACAAGUCCUACUGCUGGAUGGCGUCAGUGGGUUUCUCUCCGUGGUUCCGUAGCUACCUCAUAUGGCUUAGGGCGGAUUAUGCCACGGGAUUUAUACUGGCACCCAACAUUAAGAGGGGCCUAAUUCUCCCUUGAAGGGGCAACCAAAGAGGAUAACAUGAGUGGGAAGUGUGCAAGGGACCUUCAGAGGGGGAAAGGGAGGAAACAGGUGAACCUUCUGGUACAGGCAAGGCUAGACAUCCCUGGUUUGAGGUGGUGAGGCUUUGGGGUCAGGCAAGGCGAGACAUCCCUUGUUUGAAGGGUUGAGGCUUUCAGGGCAGGCAAGGCAAGCCAUCACCUGGUUUGAGCGGCUGAGCCUUCCGAGGCAGGCAAGGCAAGACAUCCUUGGUUUGAGGGGUUGAGCCUUCUGGGGCAGGCAAAGUGAGACACCCCUGCUUUGAGGGGUUGAGCCUUCCGCAGA